rnacentral:ncRNA from 1 species
CAGUGGGGUAGAGGUGCGAUAUUUAACAGUCUAUAGAGGAGCCCGAGGAGCCAUGAAACUACAGAGAAGGAAAUGUCGCCGAAACUUGUAAUGAACCUCAUUUAUUACUUGUUGGGUCUGCAGUUAAUAUCUGCAGGACUGUCUCAAUAAACGUCCCGGUUUAUUGAGGUGUGCUAUCUCAUUG